rnacentral:rRNA from 1 species
AUACGUAGGGUGCGAGCGUUGUCCGGAAUUACUGGGCGUAAAGAGCUCGUAGGUGGUUUGUCGCGUCGUCUGUGAAAUUCCGGGGCUUAACUCCGGGCGUGCAGGCGAUACGGGCAUAACUUGAGUACUGUAGGGGAGACUGGAAUUCCUGGUGUAGCGGUGAAAUGCGCAGAUAUCAGGAGGAACACCGGUGGCGAAGGCGGGUCUCUGGGCAGUAACUGACGCUGAGGAGCGAAAGUAUGGGUAGCGAACAGGAUUAGAUACCCUGGUAGUCCAUGCCGUAAACGGUGGGCGCUAGGUGUAGGGGUCUUCCACGACUUCUGUGCCGUAGCUAACGCAUUAAGCGCCCCGCCUGGGGAGUACGGCCGCAAGGCUAAAACUCAAAUGAAUUGACGGGG